AGCAGCCGCGGUAAUUCCAGCUCCAAUAGCGUAUAUUAAAGUUGUUGCAGUUAAAAAGCUCGUAGUUGAAUUUUGGAUUCUUCCAAUUGGUCCAUCUUUUAGAUGAGUACUGGUUGUGUGGGGUCUAUCCGCCUGGUGAUACGUAAUGUCCUUUAUUGGAUGUUGCGGGUAGUCAGGACCUUUACCUUGAAAAAUUGAGUGUUUAAAGCAGGCUUAUGCCGGAAUACAUUAGCAUGGAAUAAUAGAAUAGGACGAAGUUGUUUUAUUUUGUUGGUUUCUAGGACAACCGUAAUGAUUAAUAGGGAUAGUUGGGGGCAUUAGUAUUCAAUUGUCAGAGGUGAAAUUCUUGGAUUUAUUGAAGACUAACUACUGCGAAAGCAUUUGCCAAGGAUGUUUUCAUUAAUCAAGAACGAAAGUUAGGGGAUCGAAGACAAUCAGAUACCGUCGUAGUCUUAACCAUAAACUAUGCCGACUAGGGAUCGGGCGAUGUUGUUUCCAUGACUCGCUCGGCACCUUA
rnacentral:rRNA from 1 species